rnacentral:rRNA from 1 species
AUGUAGCAAUACAUGGAAAGCGGCGAAAGGGACAGUAAAGCGUGGGUAUCUACCUCGGGGUCUAGGAUAGCGGCGGGAAACUGCCGGUAAUACUGGAUAACCUCCCCGGAGCAAAGGUGUGAUUCCGCCCGGAGAUGGGCCCACGUGCUAUUAGCUAGUUGGCGGGGUAAUGGCCCACCAAGGCAAAGAUGGCUAGCGGGUGUGAGAGCACGACCCGCGUCACUGGGACUGAGACACUGCCCAGACACCUACGGGUGGCUGCAGUCGAGAAUCUUCGGCAAUGGGCGAAAGCCUGACCGAGCGAUUCCGCGUGCGGGAUGAAGGCCCUUGGGUUGUAAACCGCUGUCGAGGGGGAUGAAAUUCUGGUGGGUACUCCCACCAGAUUGACAGAUCCCUGGAGGAAGGGUGGGCUAAGUUCGUGCCAGCAGCCGCGGUAAGACGAACCACCCGAACGUUAUUCGGAAUCACUGGGCUUAAAGAGUGCGUAGGCGGCCUUGAAAGUUAGGUGUGAAAUCCCACAGCUCAACUGUGGAACUGCGCUUAAAACUAUGAGGCUAGAGGGAUAUAGGGGUGAGCGGAACUGAUGGUGGAGCGGUGAAAUGCGUUGAUAUCAUCAGGAACACCGGCGGCGAAGGCGGCUCACUGGGUAUCUUCUGACGCUGAGGUACGAAAGCUAGGGGAGCGAACGGGAUUAGAUACCCCGGUAGUCCUAGCUGUAAACGAUGAGCACUAGAUCGAGGGACUGCACAGUUUUUCGGUCGUAGCGAAAGUGUUAAGUGCUCCGCCUGGGGAGUAUGGUCGCAAGGC